UUUGAACGUACCGAGGUCUCCGGUGAACCGAAGAGCGGAGAGAGACAGACAGAGAGAGUCAGACCCGCCCGCGGACAACCUCCCAGAUGCAGAAGCUUUAUAGGAGCCUUCACGGUCUACCCUCUGAGAGUAACAAGAACAAAACUGUCAGUAGUGCAAGUAGAAAAGAGGACAGUCAAUGAGUUUGAAGAGAAGGGGCAGCCUUUGUCUCAAGAGGAAGGACACGAGUUGGGAAAUAAACAACAGCUGGAUGAAGACCUGUGAGGUGUCACAUAAAGAACCUGGUCACUGCUUCUUCACAAGAGAAUGAGGACGUGCCAGUAUGGAGGACUUCUUGGAGUUGGAAGAAUAGGAACGUGAACAUGAUAUACUGCAGAAACGCUUGGUCUUUGAGAAGAAGGUGCUGGUAGUGCCUGUGGUGCCGCACAUCUCACACACCACUGUAAAGUGACCUUCCCACAAUAACAACUACUCACACUUACUGCACGCUCUCUUGGUUCAGCUGUAAUGCCCCGCCGUUGGAUAGCAGGCAGGCACUUACUACAAC